rnacentral:rRNA from 1 species
UACGGAGGGUGCGAGCGUUGUCCGGAAUCACUGGGCGUAAAGGGCUCGUAGGCGGCCAACUAAGUCAGACGUGAAAUCCCCAGGCUUAACCUGGGAACUGCGUCUGAUACUGGAUGGCUUGAAUUCGGGAGAGGGAUGCAGAAUUCCAGGUGUAGCGGUGAAAUGACGUAGAUAUCUGGAGGAAUACCGGUGGCGAAGGCGGCAUCCUGGACCGACAUUGACGCUGAGGAGCGAAAGCCAGGGGAGCAAAGCGGG